CCAGCCCAACUCAUUAUCUCAGCCUUUGCCCUCAUCUCUGUGUUUACCCAAGUCUCUCCCUCUAGUCCCCCCAUCUCUCAUACUCUGCCCCUCUCCCAGCCUAUACUCAAGUCUGGGUUUCAGCUGCCGCCAGCCCUAUUGCUGCUGUUGCUGUUCUCUGUCCUUGGCCCAGGGGCUGGGUCUCCAGGAUGAGUGUCAGUACCUCCUUCAGCCGCAGCUGAUUGUCCGGCGUUUGCUGGAUGUCGCUGUGCUGGUUCCUGGCCGGCCCUCAGAGCAAACCCUCUCCCCACACAAUCGCUCAGCCCUGUACAAAGUGCCCACAGCCCGGCCUGCUCCGAGCCCUGGUCCCUGGAGCUGCCAUGAACAUGCCCCAGUCACUGGGCAACCAGCCACUGCCCCCAGAGCCGCCAUCCCUUGGAACCCCUGCGGAGGGGCCUGGGACCACGUCCCCACCUGAGCACUGCUGGCCAGUGCGCCCGACUCUGCGCAACGAGCUGGACACCUUCUCUGUCCACUUCUACAUUUUCUUUGGCCCGAGUGUGGCCCUUCCCCCUGAGCGCCCAGCCGUGUUCGCCAUGAGGCUGUUGCCAGUGCUGGACAGUGGAGGCGUCCUCAGCCUGGAGCUCCAGCUCAAUGCGAGCUCCGUGCGCCAGGAAAACGUGACGGUGUUUGGAUGCUUGACUCACGAGGUGCCCUUGAGCCUGGGCGAUGCAGCAGUGACCUGUUCCAAAGGUGGGGUGAGGAAUGGGGGAGGAGAGGAAGCUGCAGUGUGGGGGUGGGGGUGGCGGACAGAGGUGAAGGUGGGGAGGGAUGGAAUGGAGAAAUGAUAGGCUAGGGUUCCGGGAAGUGGGAGCAGGUGGGUGAGGGUUCUUGGGUCCUGACCCCUCCUGCCUCUCACUGACCCCUUCCUUCUCCCUUCAGAGUCCCUGGCCGGC
rnacentral:sRNA from 1 species